UACGAAGGGGGCUAGCGUUGCUCGGAAUCACUGGGCGUAAAGCGCACGUAGGCGGAUUGUUUAGUCAGGGGUGAAAUCCCGAGGCUCAACCUCGGAACUGCCUUUGAUACUGGCAAUCUCGAGUCCGGAAGAGGUGAGUGGAAUUCCUAGUGUAGAGGUGAAAUUCGUAGAUAUUAGGAAGAACACCAGUGGCGAAGGCGGCUCACUGGUCCGGUACUGACGCUGAGGUGCGAAAGCGUGGGGAGCAAACAGG
rnacentral:rRNA from 1 species